rnacentral:rRNA from 1 species
UACAGAGGUCCCGAGCGUUGUUCGGAUUCAUUGGGCGUAAAGGGUGCGUAGGCGGCGGGGAAAGUCUGAUGUGAAAUCCUGGGGCUCAACCCUGGAACUGCAUUGGAUACUUCCUUGCUAGAGUACUGGAGAGGAAACUGGAAUUUACGGUGAAGCAGUGAAAUGCGUAGAGAUCGUAAGGAAGACCAGUGGCGAAGGCGAGUUUCUGGACAGUUCCUGACGCUGAGGCACGAAGGUCAGGGGAGCAAACGGG